rnacentral:rRNA from 1 species
AGCCCAGAGCCUGAAUCAGUGUGUGUGUUAGUGGAAGCGUCUGGAAAGGCGCGCGAUACAGGGUGACAGCCCCGUACACAAAAAUGCACAUGCUGUGAGCUCGAUGAGUAGGGCGGGACACGUGGUAUCCUGUCUGAAUAUGGGGGGACCAUCCUCCAAGGCUAAAUACUCCUGACUGACCGAUAGUGAACCAGUACCGUGAGGGAAAGGCGAAAAGAACCCCGGCGAGGGGAGUGAAAAAGAACCUGAAACCGUGUACGUACAAGCAGUGGGAGCACGCUUAGGCGUGUGACUGCGUACCUUUUGUAUAAUGGGUCAGCGACUUAUAUUCUGUAGCAAGGUUAACCGAAUAGGGGAGCCGAAGGGAAACCGAGUCUUAACUGGGCGUUAAGUUGCAGGGUAUAGACCCGAAACCCGGUGAUCUAGCCAUGGGCAGGUUGAAGGUUGGGUAACACUAACUGGAGGACCGAACCGACUAAUGUUGAAAAAUUAGCGGAUGACUUGUGGCUGGGGGUGAAAGGCCAAUCAAACCGGGAGAUAGCUGGUUCUCCCCGAAAGCUAUUUAGGUAGCGCCUCGUGAAUUCAUCUCCGGGGGUAGAGCACUGUUUCGGCAAGGGGGUCAUCCCGACUUACCAACCCGAUGCAAACUGCGAAUACCGGAGAAUGUUAUCACGGGAGACACACGGCGGGUGCUAACGUCCGUCGUGAAGAGGGAAACAACCCAGACCGCCAGCUAAGGUCCCAAAGUCAUGGUUAAGUGGGAAACGAUGUGGGAAGGCCCAGACAGCCAGGAUGUUGGCUUAGAAGCAGCCAUCAUUUAAAGAAAGCGUAAUAGCUCACUGGUCGAGUCGGCCUGCGCGGAAGAUGUAACGGGGCUAAACCAUGCACCGAAGCUGCGGCAGCGACGCUUAUGCGUUGUUGGGUAGGGGAGCGUUCUGUAAGCCUGUGAAGGUGUACUGUGAGGUAUGCUGGAGGUAUCAGAAGUGCGAAUGCUGACAUAAGUAACGAUAAAGCGGGUGAAAAGCCCGCUCGCCGGAAGACCAAGGGUUCCUGUCCAACGUUAAUCGGGGCAGGGUGAGUCGACCCCUAAGGCGAGGCCGAAAGGCGUAGUCGAUGGGAAACAGGUUAAUAUUCCUGUACUUGGUGUUACUGCGAAGGGGGGACGGAGAAGGCUAUGUUGGCCGGGCGACGGUUGUCCCGGUUUAAGCGUGUAGGCUGGUUUUCCAGGCAAAUCCGGAAAAUCAAGGCUGAGGCGUGAUGACGAGGCACUACGGUGCUGAAGCAACAAAUGCCCUGCUUCCAGGAAAAGCCUCUAAGCAUCAGGUAACAUCAAAUCGUACCCCAAACCGACACAGGUGGUCAGGUAGAGAAUACCAAGGCGCUUGAGAGAACUCGGGUGAAGGAACUAGGCAAAAUGGUGCCGUAACUUCGGGAGAAGGCACGCUGAUAUGUAGGUGAAGUCCCUCGCGGAUGGAGCUGAAAUCAGUCGAAGAUACCAGCUGGCUGCAACUGUUUAUUAAAAACACAGCACUGUGCAAACACGAAAGUGGACGUAUACGGUGUGACGCCUGCCCGGUGCCGGAAGGUUAAUUGAUGGGGUCAGCGCAAGCGAAGCUCUUGAUCGAAGCCCCGGUAAACGGCGGCCGUAACUAUAACGGUCCUAAGGUAGCGAAAUUCCUUGUCGGGUAAGUUCCGACCUGCACGAAUGGCGUAAUGAUGGCCAGGCUGUCUCCACCCGAGACUCAGUGAAAUUGAACUCGCUGUGAAGAUGCAGUGUACCCGCGGCAAGACGGAAAGACCCCGUGAACCUUUACUAUAGCUUGACACUGAACAUUGAGCCUUGAUGUGUAGGAUAGGUGGGAGGCUUUGAAGUGUGGACGCCAGUCUGCAUGGAGCCGACCUUGAAAUACCACCCUUUAAUGUUUGAUGUUCUAACGUGGACCCGUAAUCCGGGUUGCGGACAGUGUCUGGUGGGUAGUUUGACUGGGGCGGUCUCCUCCUAAAGAGUAACGGAGGAGCACGAAGGUUGGCUAAUCCUGGUCGGACAUCAGGAGGUUAGUGCAAUGGCAUAAGCCAGCUUGACUGCGAGCGUGACGGCGCGAGCAGGUGCGAAAGCAGGUCAUAGUGAUCCGGUGGUUCUGAAUGGAAGGGCCAUCGCUCAACGGAUAAAAGGUACUCCGGGGAUAACAGGCUGAUACCGCCCAAGAGUUCAUAUCGACGGCGGUGUUUGGCACCUCGAUGUCGGCUCAUCACAUCCUGGGGCUGAAGUAGGUCCCAAGGGUAUGGCUGUUCGCCAUUUAAAGUGGUACGCGAGCUGGGUUUAGAACGUCGUGAGACAGUUCGGUCCCUAUCUGCCGUGGGCGCUGGAGAACUGAGGGGGGCUGCUCCUAGUACGAGAGGACCGGAGUGGACGCAUCACUGGUGUUCGGGUUGUCAUGCCAAUGGCACUGCCCGGUAGCUAAAUGCGGAAGAGAUAAGUGCUGAAAGCAUCUAAGCACGAAACUUGCCCCGAGAUGAGUUCUCCCUGACUCCUUGAGAGUCCUGAAGGAACGUUGAAGACGACGACGUUGAUAGGCCGGGUGUGUAAGCGCAGCGAUGCGUUGAGCUAACCGGUACUAAUGAACCGUGAGGCUUAACCUUACAACGCCGAAG